rnacentral:sRNA from 1 species
GCGACCAGUGGAAGUUAAUUAAUACACAAGACUGGUUUUUGUUUUGUAUCUGUAAGAAUUGAGCAUUGCGCAUUUGGAUAACCCUGAGUGGGUUCGUAACCGGUUGCCAUUGCGGGAGCAGUUCCGAAAACAGUUUGCGGGUGUAUUUGCCAACCUAUUUGUACGACAAUUUCAAUUUAACUCGAAGUUGAACAGCUGUUGCAAGGUAAAUAAAGCACAUUUGUUGCACACAUGCGUA